rnacentral:rRNA from 1 species
UACGAAGGGGGCUAGCGUUGCUCGGAAUCACUGGGCGUAAAGGGUGCGUAGGCGGGUUUUUAAGUCAGAGGUGAAAUCCUGGAGCUCAACUCCAGAACUGCCUUUGAUACUGAGAAUCUUGAGUACGGGAGAGGUGAGUGGAACUGCGAGUGUAGAGGUGAAAUUCGUAGAUAUCUGGAGGAACACCGGUGGCGAAGGCGGCAUCCUGGACCGAUAUUGACGCUGAUGCGCGAAAGCCAGGGGAGCAAACGGG